rnacentral:rRNA from 1 species
UACGGAGGAUGCGAGCGUUGUCCGGAUUUACUGGGCGUAAAGGGAGCGUAGGCGGACUUUUAAGUGAGAUGUGAAAUACUCGGGCUCAACUUGAGUGCUGCAUUUCAAACUGGAAGUCUAGAGUGCAGGAGAGGAGAAUGGAAUUCCUAGUGUAGCGGUGAAAUGCGUAGAGAUUAGGAAGAACACCAGUGGCGAAGGCGAUUCUCUGGACUGUAACUGACGCUGAGGCACGAAAGCGUGGGUAUCGAACAGG